GAUAGGUUAAGUUAUUAAGGGCGCACGGCGAAUGCCUUGGCACUAGGAGCCGAAGAAGGACGGCACUAACACCGAUAUGCUUCGGGGAGCUGUAAGUGAGCUUUGAUCCGGAGAUUUCCGAAUGGGGGAACCCACUACG
rnacentral:rRNA from 1 species